UGGGGAAUUUUGGACAAUGGGCGAAAGCCUGAUCCAGCAAUGCCGCGUGUGUGAAGAAGGCCUUCGGGUUGUAAAGCACUUUUGUCCGGAAAGAAAUCCUUGGCUCUAAUACAGUCGGGGGAUGACGGUACCGGAAGAAUAAGCACCGGCUAACUACGUGCCAGCAGCCGCGGUAAUACGUAGGGUGCAAGCGUUAAUCGGAAUUACUGGGCGUAAAGCGUGCGCAGGCGGUUUGCUAAGACCGAUGUGAAAUCCCCGGGCUCAACCUGGGAACUGCAUUGGUGACUGGCUGGCUAGAGUAUGGCAGAGGGGGGUAGAAUUCCACGUGUAGCAGUGAAAUGCGUAGAGAUGUGGAGGAAUACCGAUGGCGAAGGCAGCCCCCUGGGCC
rnacentral:rRNA from 1 species